UUUUGUAGUGUAGGCCCAUGGGUUCCAUGGUGUAGUUGCAGGAAGGCUCCUAUGUGCAGACUAUCCAAUUUUGGAACUGUACUCAAGGCUAUUGUCACAAGUUUCUGUGCCGUGUCGAGAAUGUGAUGAAGCGCCAGGAGUCGCCGGAGAGUAGUGACGGUUCGUCAGCCGUGGUUUGCGUGGUGCCGCCGGUGCGCCGCUCUCCCGCCGAGACGCCCCUUCUCGUCGCCCAGUCUGGCCGCCCAGCCGAGCCUGGCGCGGCUGACGGCGCCUUAGACGUCAUCAUGUAGAACCAGCAUGGGUCGCUGGCGGCGGGCCUCGGCGCCUAUCCGGUGCACGCUGCCUACGGCGAGAACCUCUAGGUGAAGAGUGAAGGCGGCGGUGGCUCGUUGCAGUACUCUGCCGGCGCCAGCGAAGAACCGGCCUCUACCGCCGCUGGGCCGGUGCCGCACUCCUCUGCGCCCCAGCGACGGGAAGCCGCCGCCGCCGACGCCGAUGCCGGCGCUGUUCAGCCCAGCUACCACCGACUCAAGGUGGAAGACGUGCUCUCCUACCAGAACCAGGUCAAGUCCAAGUUCCAGAACAACCCACAGGUCCACAACGACUUCCUCGAUAUAAUGAAGGAGUUCAAGGCGCAAAAUACCUACACGUCUCGAUGAUGGCGCCGGGCUAGGUGACCACAGCGCGGUGCACACGCCCACUGGCGGCUUCCAGACCUACUCGGACACAGUGGUACCGACGCCGCCGCCGCAGCCCCAGCAGCAGCAGCCACCGCCACCGCCGCUGCCGACGGCGCCCGGCGCGCCGCCCAAACCGAGUCACCAGCCGCCCACCGAGGAGUAGGUAUGGCACCAACAGGCAACAACAUCCUGUCGCACGCUGUGCGGCGGCGGCCGGCGUCGGGGGCCACCACGUCACCGCGCACCACUCGUACAACCAGCCGCCGUCGUCCGCGGGACGACCCAUUCACCUCCAGUGGGUCCCCUCGCAUUGCGGCCUUCCUGGAAAUGAGAGGGCAGACACCCUGGCGGAGGAGACCUCCGCCCUGGACCAGAACUCAGACACACACCACUGGACACCAGAACGAUCCAGAGAGCAGCGGCAAGGCUGGCGCGUGCGAGGACCAGAGCGGCCUGGCCCGACGGCUGGUAUCGCCAACUGCCGGUGUGGGCUCUGUCGUGAGGAAGCAGACACCUCGGCCCACGCGCUGAUGCGGUGUCCCGCCCUGGUGCAACUGCCGGUUCCGAGUGCUCGGAACUAACAGUGCUCGUGGGUCGGUUAUACACCCGACCCACGAGGACCUGCGCAGCAUCGACGCAGUAGCGGCCCUGGGUGCCGCCUUCGUCCCCCUCCAGAGCCGGCAGGAUACGCCCUAGGGCUGGAGGGAAACAACAACAACAACAACAGAGGACAUGAACCCACUUAAUGUGUUCAAACGCUACCGCGACAGCCGCAAGGUGCUCGAGUACCGGACGGAGCUGUUCAGCUCGUGUUGCGAGGUGCCAUCGGCGUGGUGCCGGCGCAAUAUGAGCACGGUACGCUGCCGUGCGCCAGCUGCCUCAGUCUGCUGGCCAGCCCGGUGAGACGGCACCUCGCCGUCGCCGUCGCCUCGUGGUCGUGUUUGGGGCCGUACGGCGCGGGUGAUCUGUGCGGGCGCGGCCGUAUCUUAUGUUACGUAUCGUAGCUAAGCACGACUUGACACUGUCCACCACGGGACCCGCCCAUGUUGACGGCGUCGCAAUGUACUCAUUGAUUGACUAGUGCUGCGCGACUGCUCGGAGUUGACCAGUUAACGUUUUGUAGGCUUUAUUAUCACUGGCGGAGGCGUGGGGACUGGGGAGUGUUUUCUAUUCGUCAGUGUUUGCCGAGGCGAGGCUGCUUAAUGCCGAUUGUGACAUGUUACUAUGUAUCCUCACGUGAAGUCGUCGGGUUAUCUAACUUGGUUCAUCAAUAAAUGGUGCGACCUACAAAGUGACAAUGAGAUGAAAACGACUGAGUCAUCUUUAUGGAAAAAUGUCUGUGACGUAUGUGAAAGCAGGUCAUAUUGGUGUGCAGGUCAUACGAGGUCAACUGAGGUCACUGACCCAGGACUAAAACUGGUUAUCCUAAGAUAACUCGUAACGCUCGCAAUACACUCGUUUUUCCGCGAA